rnacentral:rRNA from 1 species
AUUGAACGCUGGCGGCAGGCCUAACACAUGCAAGUCGAGCGAGCGGCGGACGGGUGAGUAAUGUCUGGGAAACUGCCUGAUGGAGGGGGAUAACUACUGGAAACGGUAGCUAAUACCGCACACCAUCAGAUAUGCCCAGAUGGGAUUAGAUUGUAGGUGGGGUAACGGUUCACCUAGGCGACGAGCCCUAGCUGGUCUGUGAGGAUGACCAGCGCCGCUGGAACUGAGACACUGUCCAGACUCCUACGGGAGGCAGCAGUGGGGAAUAUUGCACAAUGGGCGCAAGCCUGAUGCAGCCAUGCCGCGUGUGUGAAGAAGGCCUUCGGGUUGUAAAGCACUUUCAGCGAGGAGGCGUUACCCGCAGAAGAAGCACCGGCUAACUCCGUGCCAGCAGCCGCGGUAAUUC